UACGGAGGGUGCAAGCGUUGUCCGGAAUUACUGGGCGUAAAGGGCGCGUAGGCGGCUCAUGAAGGCUGUGGUGAAAGUCCGGGGCUCAACCUCGGAUCGGCCGUGGCGACUCGUGGGCUGGAGCACUGUAGAGGCGGGUGGAAUUUCGGGUGUAGCGGUGGAAUGCGUAGAGAUCCGGAAGAACACCAGUGGCGAAGGCGGCCCGCUGGGCAGUGGCUGACGCUGAGGCGCGACAGCGUGGGGAGCAAACAGG
rnacentral:rRNA from 1 species